GUCAUUCCUGUUGAGAUGUCCUGAUGCAGUAAGAUGUACAAGUGCAUCAUCUCCAGAAUCAAUAGCCUGAUGGACGAGGAGAGGAAGAAAAGCAAAGCCACCACCCAGCUCUUCAACCUCCUGCCUUGCGCUGUCAAUCCGGGAGAAGAAUCCUUUGGCCUGGUAUAGAUAUUUGUGCUAGGAAGAGAUGAAUUUCACUGUUAUUCCUCUGACAGUAGUGAUGAUGACCUACGCCUAUUCAAUGAGCCUGUUCUCCUCCUGGAACUUCUCCACACUUCGAGUGUCUGAACUUUGCUGCCAACUGAUUUCCUUAAGAAAGCUCAUGCCUGCCUCCUGUCUUUCCUCAAAGGAGAAUUUACUAUCAAGUCAUUGAGAACACAGGUAUCAACUCUGUUGCAAAAGUAGUUGAGCUAGAAAGCUGAUGGCAUGAACAUACUCCAGCAUCUAUAGUUAUUAGCAAAGUAAGGAGCUCCAUAGCUACCAGUCAUGUCAGACAACACUAUUUCCUUUGCUUGAAUGGCCAGGUCUUCAGAUAUGUCUGGGUCAGCUGAGGACAAUGUUUUGACAGGUUGCUGAAAAAGAUUUGAUCUUGCCAUAUAGUCAAUCAUGACCCACUCAGUGGGAGAAAUUUUAUAAUUUGUUAAGCACAUAAGUGCAUUCACAGCAAAGUCUUUCCAUUAAUAAUCAGAC
ensembl:lncRNA